AGCAGGAACCAGUCGUUUUGAAAACAGUUUCUAUCUUGCUUCUUGUGGGCUUGGUAGGCAGCAGAUACUUGUUCCUACACUGCAGAACCUGGCAGUGGAUUGAUUCUGCCAGAAGGUAAAAAGAAUUCUAUAAUAUAUUGGAGGAGGGAGAAAUAUUGGGAGGGGGAGGAAAGGGAGAUGGGGAGAUGGGGAGGGAGACUGGGGAAAGGAGAAGGAGAGGAGGAAGGGGGAGAGGGCUUGGGGCUGAAGAAAAAACAUUUCUAAAAUAAUAUAAGCAGUGCUCUUUUUCUAAAAAAAAUAUUUAGGGGUUCUCUCUCAUUUUGACUCAAGAAAAGCACCAAUUUAUAGUUGAAAUCGGGGGAAAUAAAUACAGUAACAGGGCAGGACAGAGAAGACUUAUUCCAAAAGGUGGCUUUUUGUUUUUAUUGUUUUAAGGAAACCCAGAGGGGAAAGCACAAAUCCUCAGACCAAAAUUUGUGGUUCUGCCAAAAUAGAAAAAAAAUCUACAAUGUAUAGAGGGGGAUAUGGGGAGGGGAGGAAAGGGAGAGGGAGAUUGGGGAAAGGAGGAGGGGAGGAGGAAGAGUUGACGGCUGAAGAAAAAACAUUUCUACAAUAAUAUAAGGACGGCUUUGUUUGAUUGGGGAGACUCCUAGAAUCCCUCUGGGGGUCGUGAGGGAGGAGAGGGGAGAAUGUUCCCUUGUGCUGACAGAAGGUUCUCUUGGCACUGCUAGGAAUACCACCCAAAGCUCUCACCCCUCAUUCAAUAUAGUGGUGAACCUAAAAAAGGGUUCGGAGAAAAGUGGAAGAAAUUUGCAGAAAUAUAAGCCUCUCUGGAUUAAGCCUGCCAAAUUUUAGGCAGAUCCGUUUGGAGGUUUUUGUGCCGGACACCUUUAUUAAAGUGGGUCAGACCUCACUAUUGUGGGUGGACAUAGAAGACGACACAGAGAUUUCUCCAAGUGGUUCUUUAUAGUAAGCUGGAACUGAACUGACCUGAACAGCUCAGCCGGCCUGCUUUUAUAGGCAGCCGGCUGUCAACAUUGUAAAAACAACAGCCCAGGGUUUCCGGCCUAAACUAACUGACAUAGACCUGAGUGAAAACUAUAUACACAAUACCCCCUGGUGGCCAGGGUGAGAACUUCAAUACAUAACGCACAUAACUGUGUCCAUUUCUGGGCACCACCAUUUAAGGAGGAUGUUGACAAACUGGAACGUGUGCAGAGGAGGGAGGACUGGCGGAGGAAGAUGCAUGCAUGUGGCGUGCAUUGCCCCCGGGACGCACGCCAGCCCCUCCCCACCUGCUCUCUGUCCCCUGGUGCCGCUCUGCCACUGGGAGACCCUUUUUCAUAAGGCUUGGAAACCAAGGUUAAUGAGGCGGAGGAGCUGGCUAUGUCUAGCCUGGGAAAGAGGAGACUGAGGGGAGAUAUGGUAGCCAUUUUCAAAUAUCUCAGGGGCUGCUCUCUCUCUCUUUUUCUCAAUGCCAGGCCAGUGGGUGGUCCUAUAUUUGCAUAGUAGUUUCCCAAUUAGAUAUUGUUGUAAGUUUAGCGGAGGAGAUGGGGGGGGGUAGGCUGCAUGCCUGAGACCUGGCUAAUUCCUAGAUCCAGCAAGGGCUAAAAUCUUGGUAAUGGCCACUUAAGUAUGGGUCAGGAGCGUGGUGGAGUCAAGCGAGGAAGGAGAUGGAAGAAAGACAGGCUCUGACUCUGAACCUGACAGGCUGCAGGAGGAAGCAGACCCAGCCCCCCCCUUUCCUACCAAGAUAUUGGUUUCCUGAGACAGUUUGAGCAAGUUUCCAAGAAGGGGGCAUAGAUGCUAGGCAACCAGAUAGGCAGAGGAUUGACAGCUCUUCUCUGGAAAGCGUAGAAUUUCCCGACCCUCAAUCCUGAAGAGCUGAAGUGGUGAGAUUGCAAAGGAAGUGGAAAAGGGGAAAACAGGUUUUCCUGUUGUGACUACAAUGAUGACUCCUCGUAACCAACUGUGUCCAUUUCUGGACAUUGCAAUUUUAGGAGGGUGUUGACAAACUGGAACGUGUCCAGAGGAGAGUGAUAUUUCCUCAUAAGGCUUAGGAGGAGGAGGAGCUGGGUAGGAGGAGACUGGGGGGGAAAUAUAAUACAAAAGCCAUCUUCAACUAUCUCAGGGGCUGCUCCCUUUCACUUGUCUCAAUGCUUUCAUUUCAUCAAGUAGAUGUAGAAAUAUUACUGUAAUAAUUUAGACUAAAAAGAAACAAUAUUUCAUAUAUGAAUUUUCCAGUUCUGUAAAUUAGUAUAUCUAAGACCACCUUUUGGGCUUUUGUGGGGAGACUAGACUAAUAUGGAAGCAAAACUGCACCUUUUAAAGACUUCAAGGAGAGAUGAUUUAUUUCUCUGCUCUGUAAUUUUGUCUCCACAGAGGAAUCUUGGGACAUUGAUGCUUUGGCAAAAAUCUGAUGCUGUGAUGAAUUUUUUUCUGGCAAAAGGGCAGAACUGAUGCUUCAGACUCUGAAGAGGCUUUCAUUUUAUAAGGAAUAAAAGGAGUCAGGAAGACAAAACAGGGAAGUGGAAAACUUAUUAAGUACAGCUUGGCUGGACAAAGUAUCCGAUUAAAGCACACAAUUAAGUGGUAUUUAAAAAGGGUGUUUUCUCACCACAUCAUGAUCUGCUUUGAACAUAUCUCAAGAAAUUGCAAAACUCUGUGUAACUGAGUAGCAUUUAUUGUGCGGUCUGUGGAUCCUCCUGGGAGAAAGAAAAGAUGUGUCUCUCUGAAACUGAAAAGACAGAGCGAAGGCUCCCCAUGAAUCCAGUUGCAGCAGGGAAUUGGGAACGUCAGAGAAGCAUAAGUAAUGGAAGCACCGAACAAGCAGGAGAACUCUUCUCUCCGAAACCAGGCCAUUUUCCAUACGGUAAGUGAGUUCUGAUGAGAAAGGCAUGAGUUUGUCAGAAAAGUUAUGGAUUUGCUGCUGGGAUGAGAGCUGCAGAAUGCAGGCCAACUAAUCAAAUUCAUGGGGAUGCUAAUUUAUUCGGGCAAUUAAAAGCCAUUGGAAAAGGAUGGCUACAUAGACACUCGUGUGAAAAUUGAGGAAUGCUUCUCAGACUCUUCUUAGUUCCUCUCUCAGAUGGAACUAUCCUUGCUCACGCAGGCAUGCAUCAGGAGAAGGGUGUGAGGCUGCCCUUGAGGAGAGAGAUUCCUGGCUGUUCUUCCUUUUCCCCUUCCAUGUACAGCAAGAAUGGAGAGCUUGUCUCUCGCCAGAUGUUGCUGGAUUCCAACUCCCUCCCAUCACUCUCUGCCAGCAUGGCCAAUGUAGACCGAAACAUCUGGAAGAUCACACGGUCCCCAUUCCUGCUGCACACAGACCUAGAGAGUCUCAGAUAAGCGAAGAGACCAGGAAUCUGCAAGUGCAGGCGCAUGGUCCACAGCAUUGACUAGCACAGCGGCACUUUAAUGCGUUGUUGUUGUUGUUAUAUGAUGCCCAUCUGAUUGGGUUGAAUGGUAUACAUUACAGUAGACCAUACUGAAAUUUAUAUUUGAGUGGGUG